rnacentral:rRNA from 1 species
GAUGAACGCUAGCGGGAGGCCUAACACAUGCAAGCUGAGCGGUAGAGUUUCUUCGGAGACUUGAGAGCGGCGUACGGGUGCGGAACACGUGUGCAACCUGCCUUUAUCAGGGGGAUAGCCUUUCGAAAGGAAGAUUAAUACCCCAUAAUAUAUAGAGUGGCAUCACUUUAUAUUGAAAACUGAGGUGGAUAAAGAUGGGCACGCGCAAGAUUAGAUAGUUGGUGAGGUAACGGCUCACCAAGUCGAUGAUCUUUAGGGGGCCUGAGAGGGUGAUCCCCCACACUGGUACUGAGACACGGACCAGACUCCUACGGGAGGCAGCAGUGAGGAAUAUUGGACAAUGGGUUAGCGCCUGAUCCAGCCAUCCCGCGUGAAGGACGACGGCCCUAUGGGUUGUAAACUUCUUUUGUACAGGGAUAAACCUAUUUACGUGUAAAUAGCUGAAGGUACUGUACGAAUAAGCACCGGCUAACUCCGUGCCAGCCGCCGCCGUAACAC